AUAUUACCUCACCCACCUUGUCUCUCUUAGGAAAAAAAAUUGUAACUCAGAUAACAAGCCGAACUAUACCAAUUACAGCAUCUGUUUUCUUUCCAUUGUGAGAGAUUCUAUAUUUUUUUUUCUCAGAAGUAAACAUCAAAUAGGGAAAAGGAAUGACUUCUAAUAAAAUUAUGUUUGUUACUACUAUUAAUAAGUGUAUAUACCUCUGGUGUUCCCUUUAAAUAUCCUGGAAGGGUGGGUGACUCUGCAUACAGAUAAUCAGGGAGAAGCGGGAGCUGCUUCAUCAGUUCCAUUUUGAUAUUGCAUGUGGUCUCAGAGGAAGGACUCCAUAGAAGAAUUAGUGCAACAACCCUACUAGAGAUGAAAAAAUAUUGUAAAAGGUCAUUCUUCUGUCAUACAAGCCAAAUUAUGAACUCCUUACUCACAAUGGUGAGCAGUUCCAUUAGUCCCUUUGACUGUUUGUUUGAUUUAACCGAGAUGCAUACUAAAUAAUGUAUAACCCUUUCUCUGAAUUAAUUGCUCAAGGAUUUAAAAUAUAGUUACCAACUACAGGUCUAUAGGUUAUAACUGACUAGUAUCAACAAAUCAAGGGUAGAAUAAAGAUGAUAGCAUUUCACUCUUCUAA